GCUUAUGAAGCAUUGGUUUAAUUGCACAAUAGAGCCUGUUUUGAAGCUUAACUGAGAUGGAUUCAGGUCAAUCUCAUAUUUUUAUGGUGAGUUAAGGCUUGUAAAAAUUGAACAAGGAGGUGCAAGAUUCAUAGGUUUAGUAGAGAACAGAGUCAACAGACUGAUUGAUGUUUUAGAUAAAAGAUGCAGCUUGAUUUGCUGGAAUCACAAGACCUGGUUAAAGUGUUUUCUGGAAGAAGAAAGACAGGGUUUUAAAGGUUGUUACAGAAAUUUAAUUGAUGGAAGAGCCAGGUAUGGAUAUAUGCAGGGGAUGUUAUCGUUUGAAUGAUGUUAGGGUGCAGGAAGUGGAGAAUUUUAAAAUUUUAAGUUAGGACAUCCACAGUGAAGUGAAUAAUACCUAAAAAGAAAUCCUUAGGUUUAUCCAUUCUACCAUGUAAUAACUAAACUAAAGCUUUUCUCUCCCCGUCUCAGUGUAAGAUCACAUCAAUAGCUCCUAAGCAUCUGCAUGUCAUGCUGAUAUAUUAGUGACAGUUCCAAGACAGCACAAUGUACAGAAUUUAUUUAAUGAAGUCAUUUACCGAAGACACAAGUACACAACAUACUCUUAAUGACACUCCCCCAACUAUCCUCAUAAUCCAGGAGCCUCAUGCACUGGGAAUACCAAUUUUAUGUCUCCUAUCAAGGUGCAAUAGUAAGGGGAGAGAGAAACAAGUGGAAUAAACAAUCCCAGGGUGGCCACGGUUCGGUUUUGAACCGGAAUCGAACUGAAACCGGUUCGGUUAAAACCGGACCAAAACUGGUCAAAAUCGAAACCGACUUCGAACCAGACCGAAAUAGUCCUUAUGCGGUUUGGUUCAGGUUCAUAUU
rnacentral:misc_RNA from 1 species